rnacentral:lncRNA from 1 species
AAUCGAUGGCGCGCUCGCGUGCGCGUUGCAUCAUGGGAAACCUGGAUGGGCCGUCGGCCAGGCCUGAAGCCGAGUCUACUGCACGUUCCUCUUGAAAAAAAAAAAAAAAGAGGAGAGACGCCGCACGGAAGUUCAGAAAGAGCCGCGCGUAAGCACGCUUCGUUUCUCCUGCGUGCUUAUAGUUGUAUAAGACGCCACCUUCCUUUCCCGAAAGAGGCGACGAGAUCGCCGCCGUCCAUCGCUUCCCAACUGGCUCCUCGACGCACACUCUUGCCGUCUUCGAUGAGCUUCAAGAGCGGCUUCUACUACUUCGUGCUGUUCGUGAUAUGGUGCGCCAUAGGCCUGUGUUUGCUCGUAUUUGUGCGCUGGGUGCUGAGCUACUCAUCGACCAAGUGAACGACGUGGUUCGUCGGCGAGCGGGCAACUCCGCGUCCAUGCUGAAGUCGGCGACGACGGAUCCCAAGCGGAAAAAGAGGCGCCGGAAGAGGACGACGAAGAAGAUGGUCGACUGAAUGGAAGCGAGGGCGUGCCUUCCUCCAAGGGCUGCGCUUGGUAGUCCGCUCGCGAGGACGACUGCCGAGACGUCGUCGAUGAAUAAUACACACACGCUCAAUAACCUCCAGCAGAAGCAGAGAGCCCGUUAGAGUCGUCUUGUGAACCGUUUGUAGUAGCUCACGGCGCAUGGUGUUACUCGUCGGAUCACGACGGUGAAGCUUCGUGCCCCGCGACCGGCGGUGUAGAAGUGUGUUUCGUAGUCUCGACGCUGGGAAGGAAGCCUUCGUCGUAAUAAUUUUCAAUGGUGAUAGACUCGUAGCAAAUAUAACAAGACUGCAGACUCUUCGCCGUCGUCUGAUUUGUGGCCACAGGACGAGCAGUGCUCCCGGCGACACGUGCCAAAAGCCCCGCCACUGCAACACACUGGAAGGCGCAAACACAAAGCUUUCUCGACAGCUGUGUCUGGCCACGUGUAACAAGACUACAGGUCAUACAUGCGGAGAAAGUCAAAGGACCGUGUUUGCCUGAAGCAAAGUUCAGCCCAGCCGAAAGACUCCCCAGCCAGCGAUCUAGAUGGACGCCGAAGCCUGUGCAGCUCCACGUGAAGGACUCAAAAGCCACGACGGUGGCUGUUAACGCUGUAUCUUACAGAAGAUAGCGGCUGCGUUAAAAACACCUGUGCUAUCCUACUGCAGUGUAGCAUGUUGAUCUGCAGUACAUGUGUAAAGGAGUAGCAAGGAGAACACUAUAGUUUCAGUAGUUCUGUCUUCGGAAUCAGCGAAUUACCGUAGCGCGAGAAGAAGUUUUUAAUCUGCCAAAUUUAUCUUAAAGCGUUUCGCAAAACUUUUUUUACAUCUACACGCUCCCAACAGAAGUCGGCAUUUCCUUUCUGUGCUCUCAAUAUUGUACGCAAGACCUAGUCUGACAUGUGCCAACCCCUUGAAAAAUGCAGUCGAGGCAAAGAAGUGUUAACGAAGUGAUUUUGCGUGUGUAAAUCAGGGUACGCAGGACCAAAUGCGACGUCCGAUGCAAUGUGCAAUGAGUUUGUAAUAUGGCUGUUUUUAUACUGAUGGAUCCAAACUGGUUGAAAUUUACGAACCACGAUGGAAUUCAAAAAAAAAAAAAAAACUGUCGGAUGCGGCCAUUGGUGCCGGUGUAGUACGUCGAAUCGGACACCAACUCGUUUAAGGUUCAUCUAGAUUUAACGUAAACCGGAAGCAAAACCAAUCAGCAGUGUUUAGAGGAAUGGGGGAAUUCGGGAAACGUUGGCAGAUAUAACAACCCCUGGUUGUGUCCUAUAAGACUACGACUGAAUAAGGAGAGAGGUAGAACAGCAGCGGCAGGAACGCACUUUUGAGGCACCUGUUUUGCUCACGAACCAUUCCCAAGCCGUAUGUAGCUAUUAAAUUGAGAAGCUGAGUGUGGUCACAUGCGGUCAUUCACAUUGAAUGCCUUGCAGUAGAAUGUGCUUAAAGGGACACCAAAGUGAAACACUAAAUCAGUUUUGUCAUCGUAGGUGCAUUAUUAGAAUAGAAAAUAAGGUCAAAGUUUCAUUAAUUUCGUGGCGAGACUUAAGUGUGUCGUGACGGAUUUCAAAUGGAUUCUUUCUUCCGUAUUUUGGCCACACUGGCCCAAUAAGAUUUCCUUAAAGGGGUCAUGAAGCACUCCUUGGGCUUGUUGAAAAAACACAUCCUGUGGAAA